rnacentral:rRNA from 1 species
AGAGGAGCCUGUCCUAUAAUCGACACCCCACGCUAUACCUUACCCCCUCUCGCAAUCAGCCUAUAUACCGCCGUCGUCAGUCCACCUCAUGAGAGAUCAAAAGUGGACAAAAUUGUCAACCAUAAAAACGUCAGGUCAAGGUGUAGCUAAUGAGGCGGAAAAAGAUGGGCUACAUUCUCCAAAACAGAGGACACGCACGAUAUAAUGAAACUUAUAUCCUAAGGCGGAUUUAGAAGUAAAUAAGGAGAGAAAACCUAAUUGAACCCUGCUCUG